AACGAACGCUGGCGGCAGGCCUAACACAUGCAAGUCGAGCGAGGACUUCGGUCAUCGCGGCGGAUGGGUGAGUAACGCGUGAGAACGUGCCAUUUGCUUCGGAAUAGCCCGGGGAAAGGGGGAGUAAUCCCGGAUGAGCCCUUUGGGGGAAAGAUUUAUCGGCGACGGAUCGGGCCGCGUUGGAUUCGGUAGUUGGUCGGGUAAUGGCCUACCAAGCCGACGAUACAUAGCCGGUAUGAGAGGAUGAUCAGCCACACUGGGACUGGGACACGGCCCAGACUCCUGCGGGAGGGAGGAGUGGGUAAUGUUAGACAAUGGGGGGUACCCUGAUCGAGCCAUGGCUGGAGAGCAAUGAAGGCGUGAGGGAAGUAAAGCUCGUUCAGCUGGGAAGAUAUUGACGGUACCAGCAGAAGAAGCCCCGGCUAACUCCGUG
rnacentral:rRNA from 1 species